rnacentral:misc_RNA from 1 species
CUAAGUUCAGGGGGUAGUCCUGCUCGAUUGGAGGUCAAAGUGUAUGAAGCGAUUUCUGGUAAGCCCAUCCCGACUGGCGUCCCCAUUGAAAGUGUAAGCUUAUGACAACGGGUCAAGCCGCCAGUACAAAGUACAGCUUGUUGCAUUUCAACGCAGUCUAACACAAAGACAGGCGUCAAGAUCCAACCCAAAACGCUUUC